CUGGUUAACUAGUUGAACUAGUAAGAUAGGUAGUGAAUAACUGGUUAACUAGUUGAACUAGUAAGAUAGGUAGUGAAUAACUGGUUAACUAGUUGAACUAGUAAACUAGGUAGUGAAUAACUGGUUAACUAGUUGAACUAGUAAGAUAGGUAGUGAAUAACUGGUUAACUAGUUGAACUAGUAAGAUAGGUGGUGAAUAACUG